AUCUUCUCAUCAAAAGAUGCCACAAAGAACUUGAAAAAAUGAAUCAGCCUCAGGGAGAAAAUAGUCACAAAACCUAUCUGACCCCCAAACCCUGUAACUAUAAUGUAUGGUGAGAUCUUCUUACCUGGUAACGAAAACAACAACAACAAAACAAAAACAAAAAAUAAUCAACCCAAGUAUGCUAGAAGGGUAAAAGACUUGAACAGAUACAUAAGAAUAAAAGGUACACACAUGGUCAAUAAAGCACAUACAAUAUGUUUAGUUAUCAGGAAAAUGGAAAUUAAGACCACACUGAGACACCACUAUAACUCCCAGUAGCAUGGCUAAAUUUAUAGGGAGAGGAAACACCCAAUCUUGGAGAAGAUGAAGAACAACCACAACUCUCACACGUCAUUGGUGGAAAUGUAAAAUGACACAACUACUUUGGGACGUUUUGUCAUUUUUUAUGAACUUGCCCAUAUCCCACUCUUUGGUACCAGCAAUUCGGCACCCAGGUUUUCCCAAGAGACACGAAAACAGAUGCCCUCAAAAUCUCUUGUGAGAAGAAAGUUCAAAGCAGGCUUAUUCAGAAUAGCCAAUACCAGUUUAUUCAGAAUAGCCAAUAUCCAGACUCUCAUUAUGAGGGUGGGGGUGGGGCGGGAAUGGCAAACAAACUGUGCUGUUUCUUUGCAAUGGAAUACUACUCAGCAAUGAAAGAGGAAUGAACUUCUGCUACACUCAGCAAUGGAUAGAGCCAGAGACAUUAUGCAGAGAGAAAGAAGCAUGUAGAACAGAGUAGAUGCACCGUGAUUCCAUCUGCGUGAAGUUCUAGAAGCAAAGGUAAAGUGAAAACAAUCUGGAGAGUGAUUGUUCACAAAUAAGGCAGAGGACAACGACAAUGAUUUUUAUAAUUCUAGUGAUUACGUUGUUGAUUGAGUAGUCACUAAAUCCAGGCACAUCUGACAACAACGGUGUAAGGCAGAGUUUGCGAAGUGGCACAACCUUCCAUAGAAAAAAUGUUGAGGCACAUAAAAUGUAAGAUACUUAACCAAGGUCAGGCAAGGACUGACACAGAUUUCCAACACAGAACCUGGGUUCUUGGACAUAGAUUAGACUGGACCUGUCCACUUCUCUGUUUCAGGUGUCUCUGGGAUUCUCAGCUGCACCAGAGGAGAGAGAGAAGGACAGAGAAGGAGACAGAGGGAGAGAGGAGUAGGGAAGAAAUGGAGGGAGGCACAGGGCCUGUAGCUGUUGAAGAGCAGAGAAGUAACUCUUGCCAGUGUAUUUACAGUAUAGAAAAGUUUUCUGGCGAUCAGGACAUUAGCAGAUGCUAAGCUUGCUGUGGUCAGGAGAUGAAUUUGAUAUGCCAUAGAUUUAGAAAUUAAAACGAAACCCUAAAGUUAUUGGAAGAGAAUGUAGCAGAAUACAUUUCUGCCUUAAGAGAUAACAGGAAAAAAUAAAGCAAAGUAGAAUUUAACCAAAGUUAUCAACUUCUGCUCAUCAAGAAUCACCAUGAAAAGGGAGAAGGUGAGCCACAGACUGGGAGAAGAUAAUUGCCCCGUGUUUACCUGAAAAAAAAAAUAACUCAAAUCUUGAAUAUAGAGAGUACUUUUUACAAAUCAGUAAUAAAAGGCAAAGCCAAUUGAAUUAGGGAAAAUGCUUCAAUAGCCUCUCUUCUCAAAGGAUUGCUAAAUGGUGAAAACGCAUUAGUAAAUAUGCUCAACAGCAUUACUCAUUAAAGGAAACACAAAUUGAAGCCAUGAUGUGGUACCGUUUUACAUCCACCAGAAUGGGUGUAUUUAAAAGACAGUAAACACCACGUGCUGUCAAGGAUGUUCAGCCAGUGGAACUCUCCUUGCUGGUGAGAAAGCAUUCUGGAAGAAACCAUUUGGCCGUUUCUAAUAAAGUUAACAUUACACCUACCAUAUGAUUGAACAAUUCCAGUACUUGGUAUUCCUCAAAGGAAAUGAAUGCACGUGUCCACAAAAAGACCCCACACAAGAAGAAUCUUCAUUCGCCUUGUCCAGCUAGUGGAAUCUGUUUCUUACCAGCAGGAGUAGAAGUCUGAACAUUUCUCUUGGUAUCAUUUCUCUUGGCCUCUUGGUAUCAGAGUCGCCAAGGAAAAUACAACGCAGUCAAGCACUGGACGGAAAAACAACACAUUAUUCACACAGAGAGGAGACACAGCCGGGUGUGGGCUCCGCUUCAGUAGUGGGCGUUGGUCCCCCAUGGCCAUCCGGUCCCUCCAUUUGGCCUGCACACACAGCCUCUUGAGAAGCAGAAGAAAGGGCCCCUCCCCCUCCCCUCAGCGGGGAGCAGAUACAGCAGCUGGCCAGGUGCCAGUUGAUGCACAUGUUUAAGUGGAACAAAGGGGUACACAGUCUGAUCGGGGGAAAGAUACUCCCACACAAGGAGGUGAGUCCAGCACAGGCUGUGAGGACUCCUUAUCUCUUGGGAAGGAAGUGCUCCAGGCCCAAGGCCCAUUCCUACCCGGCAGAGUGGAAGUGGAAAGACCCCUGGCACGAGAUUGCCUUUCCCCACACUUUCCUGUUGGCAUACAAACUUGGCGACGAGCUGGGAGACAAGCCAUUGUAGGCCACAACAAAGAGUUUGAAGUUUAAAGUCAUUAAAAGCUUGUCGUUUCGUGUGUAACAGCCCCAGUGACUGGAAAACAGGUUCUGAGGGCACCAUUGCCUUCGUGUAAGCCACCAACAGGGCUGACUGGGUUAUUUGCUGUGUGAGGCUCGGAAAUGGACGGAGCACGUCCAGCGCUUCCCUUGGAUUCCUCGCCAGGCACAGAGGAAAGGCUAUGGGAGCACAAAGCAAGAAAGUGGACUUCUGCAAGCCAGGAAGAAAGGCCUCCCCAGAAACCAACUCUGUGAGCACAUCGAUCUUUGACUUUUGGCCUCCAGAAUAUUGAGAAAAUAAAAGUCUGUUGUUAAGCCACCCAACCUAUGGUAUCUUUCUAUGGCAGCCUGAGCUGACUAAUACCCUUGCUUACAGGACUUUGACUCCUGGGUCUGAAAAAGGCACCUACUCCUGCUAAAUCUUGAAUAUUGACACCAUUCAAUGCCUCAUCUUCAGACCCUGAGGAAGACGACAAUCCAAAUGAACUGCUUUCAUGAGAAACAGAACAAGAAAUUGAAACAAUUUAAUCUCUCUAGACCCAAC
rnacentral:lncRNA from 1 species